rnacentral:rRNA from 1 species
AUACGGAGGAUGCGAGCGUUAUCCGGAUUUAUUGGGUUUAAAGGGAGCGUAGGUGGGAUAUUAAGUCAGCUGUGAAAGUUUGGGGCUCAACCUUAAAAUUGCAGUUGAUACUGGUUUCCUUGAGUACGGUACAGGUGGGCGGAAUUCGUGGUGUAGCGGUGAAAUGCUUAGAUAUCACGAAGAACUCCGAUCGCGAAGGCAGCUCACCGGGCCGGAACUGACACUGAUGCUCGAAAGUGCGGGUAUCAAACAGGAUUAGAUACCCUGGUAGUCCGCACAGUAAACGAUGAAUACUCGCUGUUUGCGAUACACGGUAAGCGGCCAAGCGAAAGCGUUAAGUAUUCCACCUGGGAGUACGCCGGCAACGGUGAAACUCAAAGGAAUUGACGGG